ensembl:lncRNA
UCUCAACUGUAGCUGUCGCUGGGAGAUUUUUUGUGAUUCGCUAGCUCUCGUUGGAAAUGAAUGAGAAAGUGCGUGUAUGAAGUGGCCAAUCGUUAUUCUACCCUAAACAGGUCAACGAAUCAUCAUUAUCCGUUUUUGGUUAGGGAAACUGACAGAUUUCCGAAUGUGUCGUUCCCCGUUCUUCACUUGGAAAACGAGCAUAGUAAACGUAAACGUAGGCGGGGAAAUGGGAGGGGCGGUCGAACGGGGUGCGUUCAUUUAUGUUUCAUGCAGGGCAGCACUUUACCUGGCCAAGUUAACCUCUCCCUGAGCUCGAAUUUCCGAAGAGCCAACGUAUGGACAGAUUCCUAGCAGGAUUACUGGCUAUACAGUCAGUUACAGAUGACUUGCACAAUGUGCUGGAAUUACGGAGUGUGUGUGUGUAUGAUGACAGGCUGGCAGAGAGCUGCAGGUCUAGACAAGCCAGCAGAAUGGAAACAUGGGAGAGGGCCUCAAACAAACUCAGUGCUGGAGAUCACCCUAUGAAUGCUCCAGAUGACCCAUGUUAUGCUGUGGGAGUCCUAUACCAUACCCCCUCCUUCACUGCGAGAACACCCCUUAAACACCUCCUGGGACAUGCUGCUCCCCAUGAAUGAACCAGACAACUCCUGACGAAACUGCUCAACUGAGGUCACUUUUCCCCACAGAAACCUUACCCUGGGCAAGUUUAAACAGAGCCUCUUUAGUCCAACUGAAAAAUUCCAAUAAUGUCUUCAUCUUGUAAAACAUUUGUAAAACUUCAUCUUGUAACUCUUUUGACAAAAGGUUGUCCUAUGUUACAAUGUUAGAUAAUUAAGGCAAUUUUCUUUGGUCUUCAAAUGUAUUAGUUUACUGUUACUAUGCAUGGGUUGGGAAAAGCCUCAGACAGUCAAUGUCUUGUUGAUGUUCUCAGCGUUACUAUAAAACUUUUUAGCACCUCCUCGUUGAGUCAAUCGAAACAUCUCUGCAUCUUUCCCACUUUCCUUUUUCCGAAGAUGACACAAUGUGUUUACACCAG